GAUUCCUACGGGAGGCAGCAGUAGGGAAUCUUCCGCAAUGGGCGAAAGCCUGACGGAGCAACGCCGCGUGAGUGAUGAAGGCUUUCGGGUCGUAAAACUCUGUCCUAAGGGAAGAUAAUGACGGUACCUUAGGAGGAAGCCCCGGCUAACUACGUGCCAGCAGCCGCGGUAAUAAU
rnacentral:rRNA from 1 species